rnacentral:lncRNA from 1 species
AAUUGUGACUUAAUCUCAUUGAAUUCAUGCAAUGUAGGUGUUUCUAUGGAAAUAGUGGAAUUCAGGAGAAGAGAGCCGAAAAAGGACUAAAAUGAAGCAAAGUGAUAGUUCAGGGACAAAGGAUGCAAAUAUUCGAAAGUUGAACUAAAAGACAACUCGGGAAUGCAAAUAUGCUAAGUAUGAACUCGAAAGCAAUACAAGAUGAUUGGAAGAAGAAGGAAUUGCAAAGGGACUAAAAUGAAUUAAACUGAAAGUUCGGGGACCAAGUUGCAAAUAAUUCAUAGAUGAGACGGGAAAUGGAAUGAAGAUUCAAGAGUGUUAGAGGUCAAUCGGAUGAGGAAAGGAGUCACGAGGUGAAAUAGGGUCGAAGUAUUAUCAAGUAUCAACUUUCAGGCGAAAAAGCUAUGCUCGUGAUUUUUAGUAUGUACUUGAGAUCCAUUUUUGACAUAGUAAACAUCAGAAUUUGAGGAAGCCUAUUUCUAUCAAAAGUGUAGAUCUUUGAGUUUUCUUCACAAUUCACUUUGAAUCACUUCAAUUGGAGAUCAGGAG